ensembl:lncRNA
CAAUACUGUACCCCAAAGUGUAAAACAUGACAUUUCCUGUUCCCACUAGGUGGCGCUGUACCUGAUGUCAAAUAUGGCAGUUGAAAUAUGUUCAGGGCUGGAGCCUUAUCAUAUGUGUCCACUUUGGUCAAGGUCGGACAAUGUAUGACAGAACGAGAGGCAAUAAGAUUUUCAUGGCGAGUCAUCGAAAUUCGCCGUGGCGCCACGGCCUCACCGUAUCCCGAAAACUCAAAAGCUCCGCAAUUUAACAUGGCCCAGGUGUGUAGUUGACACUGACCAAAUAUGAAGCUUGUACGAUGAAAUUCCAAUGAGGAGUUCGCAAAAGUUCGAGGCAUGGAAAUGGCAAAAUUAGAGCCAAAAUGUCACCUUCACUUCCAAAUGGCGG